GAUGAACGCUGGCGGCGUGCCUAAUACAUGCAAGUCGAACGCUGGAGAUCUAACUUGCUAGAUCGAAGGAGUGGCGAACGGGUGAGUAAUACAUAAGCAACCUACCCACGAAGACUGGGAUAAUCUCUGGAAACGGGGACUAAUACCGGAUAGGUAAUCGGAAGGCAUCUUCUGGUUAUUAAAGGUUAAAAACACUGGUGGAUGGGCUUAUGGCGCAUUAGUUAGUUGGUGAGGUAACGGCCCACCAAGACGAUGAUGCGUAGCCGGCCUGAGAGGGUGAACGGCCACAUUGGGACUGAGACACGGCCCAGACUCCUACGGGAGGCAGCAGUAGGGAAUUUUCGGCAAUGGGGGCAACCCUGACCGAGCAACGCCGCGUGAGUGAAGACGGCCUUCGGGUUGUAAAGCUCUGUUGUAAGGGAAGAACGGUAGAUAGAGAAUAUCUAAGUGACGGUACCUUACCAGAAAGCCACGGCUAACUACGUG
rnacentral:rRNA from 1 species